CCUCCCACCAUCCCGUGCAAAACAAAAAAAAAACAUACGCCACCAUCCGUGUCCCGAUCCACCCGAUGCGGCCGCCCUAUCUCCCUCGUCUAGCGAUGCAAUGCCGCCCCAAUCUCCCCGCUCCGCCGCCGCCGCCUCCCACCUUCCACUAUCACCCGCUCAGCCACCUCCACCCUCCUCUACAUCGCCGGAGGAACGGGCACACCUGGCGCGCCGCCUCGAGGCGGCGCUCGAGCAGGUGAGGAGGGAGUCGGUGCGGCAGGGCGCGGCGUUGGACGAGCUGAGGCGGCGGCUCGAGCGGCGGCGGGCGCGCGCGUACGACACACCCUCCUCUCGAUCCAGAUGCGACCUCUCUCCCACUCCGCCGCCGCCCCUACUGCUCCGCCGCCGCCCCCUCGAUCUGUUUCCUACAUCGAUUGUCAAGAAUGCCCCAGCCGCCAUAGCCUCCGCCGCCGAUGUCUGGCUGAGACGCGCCAAGGAGAUCUCGCGACUCCGCCAUGUUGGUGAGUACCCCACUUGACGGCUUGCUCCUGCCCCCCGCGCAGAUCCUCUCCGCCGCCAACGAGCGCUAUUCACCGGCCAGAUUCCAUCGGGGAGGAGGAGGUUCACCGGCCAGAUCCUGAUCCUCCUUCUACCACCGCCGCAUCGCUGCCCCAAUGCUCCACACGAUGCGCCGCCACCCGUAUCCCAGAAAUUUUUCGAUCCAAUCUUCGUCUCGUUGUCUCGUCUCACAGCAUGCCGCCUCCCCUUUUCAAGAUGGGGAGCUCGAGCGACCUCAAGCAACUACCACCGCCGCCGUCACGUAUGGCCCUGCGAGCUCGUACAGCGUGUGCCUCGCCCUCCCUCCUCCGCCCCUGUCAGCCACGAAGGCUAUGCCCGUCUAUGGAUUCUCAGUCUCAGGGAAUGCUCACCUUAGGCCCUGUACGGUGGGUAGCUUGACGUUGUUGAGGUACCAAGGCUGAAUCUGAGUACUACUACUUUGCUUGUGCGCUUGCAUGGUGAAUUGAAUGCUCUUGAAUAUUGUUGAUCGAGUCAAUGGAUGUUUCCUGGUUGCUCUUAUGGUGAGGAUCAGGUACUUCUCUUCGACGAUGAUGUCGCCAACACAGCAGAUGUAGCUUGCGGAUCCCACGGCAUGACUCAGAUGCUGACGAUGAACCGGACUACCCGUUGUAAUCUGAACACCUAAAGAAGGAUGAUGUUCACGUCAGGGCAGGACUUGAGGGAGGGCGUGGUUGUUGGAGGACGCCGCCGCCGCCAUCGCGGAACUCUAGGGUCAGGGGGUGGUCUGCGGUCAGCAAGGACCGGCAAGGCCAUGUCAAUCGUUCCCUACAUCACGGAUCAUCACAGAUAUUUACAUUCUGUUCGUUUUCUGAAUUUUUCUGUUCAUUUCUGUAUUUCCUGAUCGUUUGUAUGCUUCACCUGUUAUGAACAUCGUUUCUUGCAGCGAGGAGCGGCGCAAGGCCGUGCCCUAUAUCACCGAGCAUCACAGGCAUUUACGUUCUGUUCAUUUUUCUAUAUUUUUCUGAUUGUUUGUAUGCUUCACCUGUCCUGAACAUCGUUUCUUGCAGCGAGGAGCGGCGCAAGGCCGUGCCCUACAUCACCGAACAUCACAGGUACAUAGGUAUACAGAUACAAUGUGAGGGCGCUGGACGCACACUCAUUGAGAGGGACCUCUGCCAGGUAUGCAAUGUUGUGUAAUGAAAGACCGUCUUGCUCGAUUGAUCCAUUGAGUUCGUAUGUUUAUUAAAAAAAUUGUACAUUGCGCGUGAUCGGGUGUUAAUUUUAUCUACACCUGUAAAAUGUGUGUUGUAUUACUCGUCAUUACCAUUAUUUAUGAACUCUCUAUUUGAACUAUCAGGAAUCAUUGAACUAUUUGGUAUGGAUUAAGAAUUUAAGAUGAUUGUGUUCGUUUUGAUGUUUCUGUGCUAAAGUGCCUGCAGGCAAUAGGAAAUGUUCUGUUUUCUCGAUUCUUACCAUGGUUAAACUCGCGGUGUAUUUUUAGAUAUUGUUAUGUAGUCUGCUUUGCACUGCAUUUAUGGAGCCGGAUUAUUUACCUGUUUUCGUUAGCUUAUGCAAGUUCGUUUGGUGAAGAAGAUAGUUUUGUAGUUCGUUUUGUCGAUGUGAUUCUGUAAACUAUGUAUUGCACCUCGUAUUGGGAACUUUCUCUUAGAUUGAUCGUUGGUUCUAAACAGGUGGUCCUCGUGCAUGAAUUGUUUAUGGUAGUUGAGGUUGCACAUAGAAUGCGGAAAUAUAUCACGGGUACAGUAUUCAGGUUUUCUGAAUUUUACUGCAGUUGAUGGUGCUUUUCCAGUAUAUUACAAUGUUUAUGGUUUAAUCAUAAAGUGUUGAGAUACUACACAGGUGAGAGAUACACAAUCAGGUUGUGGACUAAUCUUAGUCUAAACCUAGGUUUAAAUAUUGUUCAGAAUACAGUGGAAUAGUAUGCUAGAUUCACUACUAGAAAAAAGGCUAUAGAUGGGAUUGACACUAAUGGCGCACCAGACAAGCGGUACUAAUGGCGCACCACCUUCUGAUACGCCAUUAGAGCUAAAACUACUAAUGGCGCACCUGGCCCAGGG